rnacentral:tRNA from 1 species
GCCCCGGUAGCUCAAAUGGCAGAGCAGCCGCCUCGUAAGCGGUCGAUUGCGGUUCGACACCGUGCCCGGGCACCA